GACUUCCAACACUCCAGUCAUCUGAAGAAAUGGGUUGUGCCCACGAAAGCUCAUGAAAUCUCAAGUCCAUGACUAUGGGCCAUGACAGGAAUGGAAGGUGCUGCCCCGUUUCCCUGUUCAUCUCAUCCCCAAGAGUUGGUCUCAAAAGUAGCACCUGCAGAGCAACUGGUGAGAAGAAAGAUUAAAGGAAGGAUCUGCAAAUCUUCACUCACAAGUUGUGUUUCUGGUUCUGACCCUUAAUACCGUGGAACCUUGGACAAGUCACUUGAGACGUCUUUUAAAAAUUGGUGGUCAGUGUUGGGAAUGCAAUACAAGAAAUGACCUCACCAUCUUCAGCUGUACUAAAUGUUAUUUUUGGCUGCUGUACAUGUCAAGAACUCUGGAUAAUUAUUUUUUAAUACUUUAUAAAUCCUUCUGGGUAAAUUGUAUAAAACAUUUUAUUUUUAUUGCUUACAUAACUGCAUAAAAUGUUUAUCUUGGUAGAAGACUGCAGUGUUUUUGCCAAAACAGAUUCCAUAUUGAUUUCUAGAAAUUAUUGAAAGUUAAUAAUAUUCCCUUUUUAAUGGUAUCUUUGCCAUGUUAUUAAAUAGGGUUUUGUUGGGAUUAAAAAUUGUUUCUGACAGAAAUCAUAACUUUCCUGUUUUCACUGAAUAAGUUCUGUGGUCCAUCUCCUUUGGAACUCAAUGCAGUUCAAUUAAUCCUCUGAUACUUAAUCCAUGACUCUUUAGAUGCCUGUGGCUCUUUACAGGUCUUCAUGAGGUUCUCAGGAAUUGUGCACAUCUGAUUGGAAUAAAUCACUGGAGAUAUGAGCAGAUGAAAUAGCUGAGAUUUUCCUCCGUGUGCGUGGUGUAAAAAGGAGCCAUUGGAAUUGUCUCGGUUUGUAAGCGUGAAACCACGAGCAAAUCAUGGCCAGUAGAAGAGGAGGAGAAAGAGGAGAGCUUUGGCUUCCUCUACGACAGGAUGCUAUUCCAGGAAGAACUGCUAAGCAGGGAUGGCAUUCACCUUUUGAGGUAGGGGAAGACCAUAUUUGGAUAAAGACUGGAUAACUUAGUGAGGAGGACUUUAAACUAGAUUCAACGGGGACAGGUAACCAAAGCCCACAGGGCACAACUAUGCUACACGGAAGAUUGAUGCUGCUGCGGUGGAUCUUCCUAAAUUUGAUUUAGCAGGUGUAGUAUAGACCUGCUAGAUUAAAUUCCAAGGGCACCCUCAUUGGUGUUAGUAUUCCUGCUCCUCAUGAGGAGUAAGGGAAGCCUCCUGCUAUGUGGACGUGUAGCCUUGUAAUUUUGUAGGUAAUAAGUCAGUUAGUUAUAAUUAAUGUAUGUUAUAGCAAAAGGGUUGAAUUAAACUUAAACACAAGAUGUAGGCCUCAGACAGGCCAGGCAGCUUUGAUAAUUUAGCUCCAGCUCUGUUUGAUGUUAGCAUGUUCUGAUGUUAAAGCAAAGGGUUGGAAUAUUGUAAUACAUAGUGAUGUUAAUAUUAGGCAAGGCCUUAUAAUAGAUAAAAAGAAGUUUAAUGUUGAAAGACUUUGUAACGUUGUUAAAGUGACUAGAAAUACCCUUUUGUCCCAUGCUGCAGUUGUGUAAAUGUAUUGUAUGUGUGAAUGAGAGAGAGAAUAUUUUAGGAGAGAGAAGUGUGAAGGCCACUGCAUGCUCAAAUGGUCAGAGGAGGGGCCGGAGACACAGAAGCGCACUGAAGAUGCAGACUACUGGGACAGAUUGACGAAUCCUGAAGUUAGUGGCAAGCACCCCUUGAUAGGGUACUAAUUUUCGCCACAAGACAACACCCAGGAGGAGUUGUCAGCAUACUGGUGUCAGAUGACUGCGAGAACAACCUCCAGAUAAACAUAUGUCACAGAAAAACUGAUUGUGAUGAUGAAUGACUGAUUAAGGCCUGACCAGGCAAAAUGCAUAGACUUGCAUGGAAGGAAAAUCCUAUGAAGGAUGGGGUGUGUUAUAUGGUUCUGUCCUGGUAAAACCAUGGAGCAUCAGUCCUGACUGACAAGAACCUGGCUCCUCCCUCAUAGUCAAUCUAUCUGGCCAAUACGCUGGGUUGAGCAACAGACUGGUAACUAUUCCAUCAGCAGGACAUGUGUGUGUGAAUGCAUAUGCUACUUUGUUAUAUUAUCAAUAAAUGCGUCAUGUUGCCUUAUCCUCCUGAAAAAGAUCCUGUAUGCUUCUUUUAAGCAUAACAGACAGUGUGGAAACAUGAUGUAAGAUACGUCGACUCCAACUACGUAAAUGACGUAGCUGGAGUUGCGUAUCUUCCUUUGACCUUCUGAUGUAGUGUAGACCAGGCCUUAGAAGAUUGCAGCUAGGGGAAAGCUAAAACUUUUCCCUUCCCCAGCUAGGUACUUACCCUCAUAAAUGUGAGGCACACUGAAGGAGGACGGGGGAGGGGGAGGAGAGUGAGGUCAGGGAAGGGAAAGGAAACACUUUUGUUGUCUGGGGAACAGUUAGGGCACGUGUAGACUUCCUUUCACUUUCAAAAGAAGAUAUGCAAAU